rnacentral:rRNA from 1 species
AACGGACGCUGGCGGCAUGCCUAACACAUGCAAGUCGAACGAGGCCUUCGGGUCUAGUGGCGCACGGGUGCGUAACGCGUGGGAACCUGCCCUUAGGUUCGGAAUAACUCCCCGAAAGGGGUGCUAAUACCGGAUAAUGUCUUCGGACCAAAGAUUUAUCGCCUUUGGAUGGGCCCGCGUUGGAUUAGCUAGUUGGUAGGGUAAAAGCCUACCAAGGCGACGAUCCAUAGCUGGUCUGAGAGGAUGAUCAGCCACACUGGGACUGAGACACGGCCCAGACUCCUACGGGAGGCAGCAGUGGGGAAUAUUGGACAAUGGGCGAAAGCCUGAUCCAGCAAUGCCGCGUGAGUGAUGAAGGCCUUAGGGUUGUAAAGCUCUUUUACCCGGGAUGAUAAUGACAGUACCGGGAGAAUAAGCGCCGGCUAACUCCGUG